ACACAAACUCAUCUUAAAUCCUCGACUGCACUUCUAAUAUAAAUAUGUUCCUCUGUUCCAUUAAGAUCAUAGAUGGUGUAAAUCCAAGCAGUGUUUCUCCUGAUGUUGUGUCCCACGUUGCCUUCAGUGUUCAGCUGAGAGCAGAGAAAUCAUUUCCAUAGAGAGGAGGCUUUGCAUGGUCAGCUGAUCCUCCAGUGAACUGAGAAGGUUUAUAGUCCUGUGAGUUCAACACUGCAGGACUCACAUCUGUCAGUCAACACAGCAGAAAGCACAACCACCAUGACUCUCAUCACCAUCCUCAUCUGGACGCUGGCCUGCUGCUGUUUUACAGGAUGCAGCGGUCAGGUGACUGUGACUCAGCCUCCAGCAGUGACAUCUGCUCCAGGAUCCACUGUCACUCUCACCUGUAACACCAACCAAGCUGUUUACAGAGACAGUGAUGGUGAUUGGAUUUAUUGUUGGUACCUUCAGAAACCUGGACAGGCUCCCAAACUUCUUAUAUAUGAGGCAUCAACUCUAAACUCUGGAACUCCGUCUCGAUUCAGUGGCAGCUAUUCUGGUUCUGACUACAGUCUGACCAUCAGUGGUGUUCAGGCUGAAGAUGCUGGAGAUUACUACUGUCUCGGUGUUGGGUCAACGUUCACACAGUGAUUCAGAGCCGUACAAAAACCUCCUUCAGUCUGACUGAAGAGAAAACGGCCUGCUGCAGGUGCAGAGGGUUGGUGAAGAGACUGUGAUGAGGAGAACUGGUCCAGUGAACACAAGAGUCAUCAAGCAGAACCACAAUGAACCUGAAGAAAACUGAAACUCAGACAUUUUUCCAUACACAGUUUUUAACUCCAAACCUUUUCAGAAAAUUCAAUACUUUUAGGUGUAAACUGAUAAAGAGCAGUUAUUAUAGGACUUUAUCCACAGAUAUAAAAAAAGGUUAGCAGUGUCUCUGUGAAUAGCUGCACUGAACAGCCUAAAACUAAAACAGUCCAAAGCAAAAACAAAAAUGUCAGUUUAUUGUACUAACGAGAAUUAUUUCAUGUUUAGAAUGUGAGAUGCU